rnacentral:lncRNA from 1 species
CUCCAGUUAUCAAUCACUAAGUGGUAAUAAAGGCACCGACUCUUAAUUCUAUACUUUAAAAGUAGGGGUUCCAAUGAAAAUCAUCUGUCAGAUACAAGCUCUCUGUAAGGUUCAAGUGUCUUUUAAAUUUAAACUCUGCCUUAAGUUGUCUAUCACACUGCCUUUGAGAUUCUUGGAAACCUAUGUAGCUCUCUAGAGAAGACUUCAAGAAUAUGUAAUUUUACCAAGGCUAGUUUGUGUACUCUAUUCAGUAAUGCCUUCAAUUUCCCUGACUGGAGUAAAGCUCUCUUUUAUCUAUGGUUAUGGGUCUGUUAUGUUUAUUCCAAUCUUGAUAGUCAAAACCAAGGAAAACAACUGUCACCCGAACUAACUCUUCCAGAAGCCAGAGACUGUUGUCUGAUGGAUACUAAAUAAAACCCACCAGCAUGGGGCUAUAUAGAAAAGCAAUUUAUUCCAUUAUAAGCACUUACACAGUUAGUCAUGGAGAGUAACAGGCCUGAUGGUGAGACAGAUCAACCAAAAUGGAGAUGGCAUAAAACUAUAGUGGUCAAAGACUAACCCCUAAAAAAGCAACUUUUAUCAAGGAUUAAUUUAAUCUUAAAAACAAACACAAACUAGCAAUCCACUCUUUCUCAACUUGACAGUUCACCAGUGGCACAACUGCCAGGUAAAAACAUACAUCUUUACAACUUGGUGGUCCCAAGUUUAAAAAAAAGAAGAAAGAAAAAAGGAAAGAAAAAGAAAGGAAGAAAGGAAAAACCACACACAACAAAAAACAGACUUUGUUCAGUAAAAAAAAAGUCAGAAAACAUUACACUUAGUACCUGUCUUUGAGAAAUGUAAAGACAGUAACUUUGCUAAGCUUGGUGGCAUUCAAAAGCAGAGGCAGGAAAAUCUUUUUGAGUUUGAAGCCAGCCUGGUCUACAGAGGGAAUUCCAGGACAGCUGUUCCCAAAACACUCCCACCCAAAUAACUUCAGGGCUAGGGUAACUAACAUAAAACUCAC